UGGGGAAUUUUGGACAAUGGGCGCAAGCCUGAUCCAGCCAUGCCGCGUGCGGGAAGAAGGCCUUCGGGUUGUAAACCGCUUUUGUCAGGGAAGAAAUCUUCUGAGUUAAUACCUCGGGAGGAUGACGGUACCUGAAGAAUAAGCACCGGCUAACUACGUGCCAGCAGCCGCGGUAAUACGUAGGGUGCAAGCGUUAAUCGGAAUUACUGGGCGUAAAGCGUGCGCAGGCGGUUUUGUAAGACAGAGGUGAAAUCCCCGGGCUCAACCUGGGAACUGCCUUUGUGACUGCAAGGCUUGAGUGCGGCAGAGGGGGAUGGAAUUCCGCGUGUAGCAGUGAAAUGCGUAGAUAUGCGGAGGAACACCGAUGGCGAAGGCAAUCCCCUGGGCCUGCACUGACGCUCAUGCACGAAAGCGUGGGGAGCAAACAGGAUUAGAUACCCUGGUAGUCCACGCCCUAAACGAUGUCAACUGGUUGUUGGGAAGGUUCCUUCUCAGUAACGUAGCUAACGCGUGAAGUUGACCGCCUGGGAAGUACGGCCGCAAGGUUGAAA
rnacentral:rRNA from 1 species